UAUUCGCCAUGAACAGGGUUACUGUAGCAGCGCGGUCCGAGCGCCCCAUCUUCCCUCCUCUCGCCUCCGCCAUGGCCUCCUCCCCUCUCCUGUCUCCUCCUCUCCUCCUCUCGCCUCCGCCAUCGCCUCCUCCCCUCCCCUCUCUCUCUCCCUUCUCCUCCCUUUCAACCCUACCCACCUCCCCUCUGGAUCAAGUGCAGGCCGGCCAGUGCGCGCAGGCGGCAGCGCUCCACUCGUGGACACCCAUCUCUCUCCCCCGCAGACGAACCCCACCGCAGGAGGCCCGUCCCGAGCUCGCCUCGCCGCUCCUCCAGUGACCCUCGUUGCGCCUGGAUCCGGGCGGAGGAGCCCUCUCAUGGCGUCGGCGGCUCUAGAGAUGAGGGCUGCCCAGAGGAAGAGGAACAGCAUCUCUCCCCUUCGCCAUCUCCAGCUGCCGCCACCAUCUCUCCCCUCUGCCCUCUCCAGCUGCCUUCCUCACAAGCCUUAUCUUCGAGCCGUCAUCCUUGCCUUCGACUCGUCCGCAGCUGACGUAGCCGAGAGGGGGGCCGAUGAGCUUGGCCACCGUGUGCUGCUCCAUGAACUCGCUCAUGUCCAGCUGGACCAUUGCCUCCUCUAAGCCGUAGUAGCUGGUUGCCAGCGCCUUGGCCAGCUCCGACUUGCCCACGCCCGUCGGGCUGGCGAAAUUGAAGCUGGCCACCGGCCGGUUGGGGUUCCUGAGCCCAACGCGCGCACGGCGGAUGGCGCGGCCUAUGGCCCUGACGGCCUCGUCCUGGCCGGUGACGCGCCCGUGCACGGUCUCCUCCAUCUUGAACGACUGGUUGGACUCGUCCACAGAGACCUUCUCCACGGGGACGCUGGUCCGCGAUGUGACGAUGUGCUGGAUGUCCGCCUUCGUCACCAUUGGGCCAACCGACGCUCCCGACUCCACCUCUGCCUUGCUCACCUCAUUGCUCUUGUCCACCAGCGACAUGAUCUUGAUUUUGAGCUCCAGCCUUUGGCUGCGAAGCUCUCCGGCCUAUAACCAUUCACAUAAUUAGCAUCCUCCUAUAAGGUGUGCAUUUCAGGUUGACCUGUAGACGAGAAGAUUACCGUCUCAAAUUGCUGGGAGCGGAUGUCGUCGUUCUUCUGUCUGGUGAUUUCCUUGAGCUUCUUGGCGAGGUCUUUAGCUUCCUUAGGUAGCUGUCAGCAUAGUUCAAAAUUCAGAUUCAGACAUCUUGUAAAUUCAGAUUCAGACAUUUUGGAAAAUAUUUAGGUGCAUCACCAUUCGAAAACAUCUGUAGUACCUUGGCAUGGCGUAGCCUGACAAGAGAUCCCGCCUCAUCAACCAGGUCGAUUGCUUUGUCUGGGAGGAAACGAUCACUGCGAACAAAAUAGACCGUUAGAAAACUUCAUUGUACGCUGGGAACUACUCCUAUCCAACACUGAAAUUUGCAAGCGAAUCUGACCUACUACUCAGUAUGUGAUAGUACAGGUGCUCCAUAUGCAACACUGAUGGUGUUUUCCAUACUGCAGAAUACAUGCUUGCACAAUAUAUUGUAGUUAUCAUAAGUUUCUGUAAAUUUGUGCUUACCCCGUUUAUUUAUUAAUAUGAUACACAUGCAUUCAACUUAAUCUACCCGUGACUCUGUAUUUUUUUUCCUGCGCACUACUCUGAUAAAGCUUCUCUAUUGUUUUGGUUUUGCGUUUUGCUUUCUUUUUCUGAAAAUUAGUAGUUGGAACUGUCGAAACUGGGUGCUUUUUGCAGCUCUCUUUCCUACUUCUAGCGCUGAAAUUACGCCUUACUAACUGGCGUACAUGUUCCUUGUAUAUAACUGACUUUUCUGUUUCCUGAGGACAAGAGCACCAUACAGAAAAUUGGUAGUUGUUGUCUUUCAUGAUAAGGUACGUACACAUUCAUAAGCUCGUGUGUUUGUGCGGUCAGGUUGGCUGCCUAUAUGUUUUGGGGUUCGCCUGCUCGCUGUAUUGACAACCAUAGGAAAAUAUAGCAAGAGUAAAAUUAGGCUUGUUGUUUGAGAUGGUUCCUUUACACGAUAAAUAAAUUGGAGUGAUUUCGAACUCUUAAGGCCCUUGACCGGUUAGAGAAAGACGGGUUGAACUGAAUUCUGGAUAUGUAGUGUUAUCUAAUCUUGUGGUGCUUUUAACUUUGAUCUUGCAACUGAACCUGCAGACUACUUAUUUUUUUGGAUGUGUAAACCUGAAUGUUGGAAACUAAAUUUGUCGCCCUGGGUUCAGUGGUAUUCAAGUGCGACAGGACCAUAUUGUGACCAUAUUAUGACAGGGUCAUAAACAUGAAAGCAUGAAACUAACUGUGUUCCCUGGGUGGUCCUAUACAUUGAGAUUAGCUAUCUUGAGCAUCACUCUUUAUUUCGGCGCAAGAGGACCAUACAGUGACAUGAAGUUUUAUCUUUGCUCCUAGGCAUACUGCUACUUUGUUGAUAUAUCUGAAGCCGUCUGAACCUGGUUCUUUUCAGGCAUAUUUUUUUAUAUUUAUCAAUGCAUUGUACAUAGUGAAAUUGUCCCUAAUUAUUCUCUGUUGUAGUGCAAUGUUUUUUGUUUAGUUUGGAUAGACAGUAUUAUCCUUAGUAUUAACUAUGUUCCCUGGGUGGUCCUCCCCGAGUGUUUCUUGCUCGAUUGGCCACUUCAGGCUUCACACAUAUGUGUGUUGCAAGCUCUCAGGUUUGGAGAAUAAUUGUAGGAUUAGGUAAUUUGAGAGACUAAUUAUGAGCGUUAAAAAGGUCACACAGUCGGCAACAGUGGUUAUAUCAGCUCGAAAAAAGCAGUGUUGCUUGACGUUGAUGGCUUGACCUUUCGGGCCUCUCUCCUUGGGCUCCUAAUUUCUCAGCCAGGAUCAUCUUGCCAGUGUGUUUCACCCUCCCAUUUCUGAUAUCAUUGAAUAAUUUACAAAUGGGAUAUCUCUUAUUCGGGAUUAAAGUUUUGAUGGUUAGAUUGAUUGCUUCGUUUCAUAUAUAAUUUCCCUGUAGGCUUCUAAUGUAUUCAGAUGACAUACCUAUUGUCCAUACUAGGGCUUUAAAUGCAUCUGCUCCUAUAAUUGGUCAUUCAGUUAGUAUUACAUGAAAAGAAACAAUCCAGCUUAAUUCCCUCAUUUGGUUGGGUAUGCGUCUCAUUUAUAUACUCACACAGUGGUUUAUUUGAAUGUUUGUUCUCCACUCACUGCCUUGUGCCUUAGAUAGCUGCAGAUGAGGAUGUAUGAACAAUUUGGCCAGGAACUCAAUCAGACCAUUCGACUGAAGCUGAAGGGGCAUUGCAAAGAUACGGAGGGAUUGCCUUUCAUUCAGAACCUGGUUAGCUAAAAGUCACGCGGAGAGUAAUGGAAGGCCCUGUGGAUUGUGUUAGCUGGUUUUCUGAUUCGUGUUUAGCUCAGGGAUUCUCAUUUAUCAUGCAGGUCGUUGUGGCCAUGCGAAAGAUAUCCACACACAGGUGAUGGCAUAAUUUAAUGAAUGGCAUUAUGGUAGGACGCAUGUGGUAUUUGAUUACAAUGGUGUCUCACAGGGUUACAAAAGUUGUGUUCUUACACAUUUGAGAUGAAAGAAAUUCAAUUUUUUUGCGGGUAUUCAAAAUAGGUAAGCCAAUAAAUCAUGUUUCUUCUUUGCUGCUCUAGCUGUCAUGUGCCACAUAGUUAUUUCCGUCCCACAUGCUCCUGGUUGCCUAUUUAGAUUCUGUUCAUGAGCUAUGUUAUUUUGUAUCUAUAACCUUGAUAAAAUUUAAGAAGGCAUGUCUUGUGGUUCCUCCUCCUUUUCUCGACAUUGGGCCGCUGCCGUCAUUUUGUCAAGUAGCUAAUUGUUUCUUUCCAUGGUUGUGAUGUCAAGGAUCAUGGAGACCAAGGUCACCACAUCCUGAUAUCCUGGUGCAUGUAGAAUAUAUAUAUUUAUGUCUAUGUUGCUCCGAUGAAGUCGUUGCUGGAUUAAUUACAAUGUGUGUUUUGUUAGAGCAGGAGGCUGGAAGGGAUCUUAAAAUAUGGUGAGAGUUUUCUUCAAUCAUACCAAAAUUCAUUAAAAAAAAUAGCUACAGUUGUUGGCCUGCUUUAGGUGCGAAGCUGAGAUCUUUUAGGAAGUGGGCGCUGGAGCAAGUAGUGAACUACUUAAGUAAUCAUUUACGUAUUCUGUUUACCAUCCCGACAGAGAUAUUGGAUGAGUUCGGUCAUCCCUUACUUUAGUUAGAGCAAUCUAGUCUUUUUUGUGUAUCAGUGCUAGCUUCGUAUUGCAAUAAUCCCUUAUAGGGUUUUAAUUUUGAGUAAUCGUGUUCUUAUUCUGUU